UAAUGCCGCGUACGUCGCGUUUCGAAAGGGAAACCGAGAAUAUCGGGUUAUCCCCUCGAAGUGCGCCGUUCUCGGCUUGU